CGAACAUCCCUCCAGGCUCCACCUCCCCCAAACCCUAGCCGCCACUCGACCGCUGUUCCCCUCUUGCUCUCUCUCUUGCCCUCACGGCGGCGACGGCCGGCCGGCCAUCGCUCGCUUUUCUCCGCCGUUGACGACCACUCCCACGUGCCCUCCACUACACUCUGCCAUCGACACCCCCUCCAGAUCAUGCCACUCCAUUGCUGCCCCGACUGGCGCCAUGGUGGAGAUUUGCCGAAGCUCCACCACCGUGGUUGCCUCCAAGCAAUCCUCUCCGUCCCCUUCCUCCUCCGCCGGAGCGUCCCAAGGUGAGACCCUCCCACGCGGAUCAGAAAUGAUUCCUCCGGCGGUCACUGUGGCGGAGAGCUCGCGCUGGAAGGAGCAGCAACAUCAGCAGCAGGCGGUGCCUUGGGCGAAGCUGCUUUCGCAGUCCUCACGGCGGUGCAUGCCUUGAGUGUCCAGCGGUCAAGACAAGCAGACUAGCAGAGCCCACGCUAGCGUGGCCCCGCGUGGUGGAGCGAAGGAGCCGCAUGGGCAGGCGCUGGUCGUUCCUAUUAGAAGAAACCAGAUCUGGUCCAUGGUAAGGCUAAUCUGGACUUCCGUGCUUGCUCCUUCUGCUACUAUCUUAUUAAGCAGCUAAGAGAGUACACAUAGCUGAUGAAGCAACAACAAUGGCUUAGCAUUGAGCAGCUGGUGGCUCUGCUGCAGUCACCUCAGAGUAAUCUGUUUAUCCAUCGUUUGUUGAAUCACUAUGUUUUCCAUUAUUCAAUUUAUGAAUUGCAGUUCUUUUUACAAUAACAAAAGUUGUGAGUUAAGCAAUGUGGUCUUCAGAGUUGAGUUUUAUCUGUUGGUACUUCGAAAUGUAUGUGUCAAAGCAACUUUUAGGCUAGAUCAAUCGAUCACCACUGCAUUCUCUUUAUACUUCCUAGGCUACUGUUUGUAGCUUCUCUGUUGCAGAUUAUUUCUAAUUUCAAUUUACCCAUUGAAGUAAAAUAAAGGAUGGAAAUAUUGAAUCAUUUGUUUGCAUUACUGCUUUUUGUUUAAUCAAUCCAUGCAGCCUAAAUUGCAACAUUCAUUUAAUCAUUAUCAUCUGAGAAUUACUAACAGAAGAUGGUCAUUAUCUUCUGAGAAUUACUAACAGAAGGUGGUUGAGACUUGAUCAAUCUGAUGUUUCAUGUCCAAGUGGCAUAUAAUAACCUAGCAAGUUAAUCUGGACAAUGCAGCUGAUGGAUGGCACAGCCUAACAAUAUGAUGGAAAUUGUGUGGUCAGAAGCACAACACAGAAGCUGGAGCAAUUUUCCUUCCACUUCUACCUUGACAGAGAAGUUCUGAAGACUGAUUUUCAUUCUCUGAUUCCACCAGCCACUAUGACAGAGCAUACCUUGCUUCCACUUUUUUCCUUGAUGAGGUUGUAGUGUUCCCUUCCCCAUAUUUUUUUGUUGUUCAACUUAAGAUUCUCGCCGUUAAAAAAUUGCAAACAAGAAAUUUGGUUCCAUUUGAUACUGUGCAUGUAAUACAGGAGGUUUCAUUUGGUCUAUUCCUCUACCAUAGAUAGAACAAAGUUGAUGCAACGGUUUAUGAAAGAUGAUUUCCUUUUAUGUUCGCUAUUUCACAAUCUGUUCUUUCUAGGGAAGGUAAUAGAUAUGCUUCACUUCUAAUUUUAGUUAGUCAUGGUAAGCUGGGACUCUGAUGCACAACAUAGAAUAUGUCAAUCUGAGAUAUUGUGCUCUAUUUCUCAUGUGAUGCUUUUUACCUUCACUGCAGACAAUUAGAUAUAUGGCAGAGCGAGUUCUAGGAAAUGAUUCAUUCGGGAUUGUCUUCCACGUAAUGUGCUUGGUCUUAUGGAAAUGCAUGCUUAGUGUGUAUUAUACUUCCCCCGUUUCGAAAUGUUUGACACCGUUGACUUUUUAGCACAUGUUUGACCGUUCGUCUAUUCAAAAAGAAUUGUGAAAUAUGUAAAACUAUAUGUGUACAUGAAAGUAUAUUUAACAAUAAAUCAAAUGAUAUGAAAAGAAUAAAUAAUUACUUAAAUUUUUUGAAUAAGACGAAUGGUCAAACACGUACUAAAAAGUCAACGGUGUCAAACAUUUUAAAACGGAGGGAGUACAUUUCUUUGAUAUGUUCUGAAUCGAAAUGAUGUGGUUUUGACAUUUACGCUAAGUGCUUGGAGACAGGAAAAGAGUUGCCAUCAAGAAGGUGUUGCAGGAUCAACGUUACAAAAACCAUGAGCUGCAGCUUAUGCGCACUCCCCAACGGCAUCUCUCUGAAGCACUGCUUCAAUUAUACUCCCUCCGUAUUUUAAUGACGUCGUUUACUUUUUAACCAACGUUUGACCAUUCGUCUUAUUCAAUUUUAUUAUGUAAAUAUAAAAAUACUUAUGUCAUGCUUAAAGAAUAUUUGAUUAUAAAUGAAGUCAUAAUAAAAUAAAUGAUAAUUACAUAAAUUUUUUGAAUAAGACGAAAGGUCAAACGUUUAUCAAAAGGUCAACGGCGUCAUACAUUAAAAUACAGAUGGGGUAUAUAUUAUCUAAUUUUAGAUGCAUAGCACUUAAACUUACUAUAGCAGUUAAACAUACUAAGGUUCUGAGGUACUUCAAGACUGAAAGCUAAUGUUGUUCCGUUACUUUUGCUUAGAUGAAACUCCGGUGUUGCAUGUAUUCUACAGUUUAGCGAGCCAAUGUGGUUGGCAAAUUUUAUUGAUUGUAUUGCAUAUAAAAACUGAUUAUAAUCAAGCCUUAAGAAUGGCCUUUCAGACAACCAA